GACGAACGCUGGCGGCGUGCUUAACACAUGCAAGUCGAACGGAAAGGCCCUGCUUUUGUGGGGUGCUCGAGUGGCGAACGGGUGAGUAACACGUGAGUAACCUGCCCUUGACUUUGGGAUAUCUUCAGGAAACUGGGGCUAAUACCGGAUAGGAGCUCCUGCUGCAUGGUGGGGGUUGGAAAGUUUCGGCGGUUGGGGAUGGACUCGCGGCUUAUCAGCUUGUUGGUGGGGUAGUGGCUUACCAAGGCUUUGACGGGUAGCCGGCCUGAGAGGGUGACCGGCCACAUUGGGACUGAGAGACGGACCAGACUCCUACGGGAGGCAGCAGUGGGGAAUAUUGCACAAUGGGCGGAAGCCUGAUGCAGCAACGCCGCGUGCGGGAUGACGGCCUUCGGGUUGUAAACCGAUUUCGCCUGUGACGAAGCGUGAGUGACGGUAAUGGGUAAAGAAGCAACGGCUAACUACGUG
rnacentral:rRNA from 1 species